rnacentral:misc_RNA from 1 species
ACAACUCAUAAAACUCAUGAUAUGCUGUUCUACCAUACUUUUAAAUUGAUGAUAUAGACAACAAGAAGCUGAAAAAAUGAAAUUAAGCAUUCAAAAGCGUAGAAUUAUUGUCUAAAUUUGAUAAAUGGUUUAUUGCUGAUAUCAUACAUUACCUUCCAGUCCUUUAAGAGUCUUAUUUAUGUCUAGUCAAAUAAGUUUGCUGUUGUCCAAUAUUUUGACUUUUAGGGGUAUUUCUGUAAUUCUAGCUUUGCUGGAAUAAGUUGAUUGGAUGGCUUUAGCAGUCCUAGCUCAGGUCUUUAUCGGUUUAGGAUAGCAUUUAUCCUUUGCGUUUUCUUUGA